rnacentral:rRNA from 1 species
UUUUGACCUCGGAUCAGGUAGGGAUACCCGCUGAACUUAAGCAUAUCAAUAAGCCGGAGGAAAACCUGCGGAGGAGCAUAUCAAUAAGCCGGAGGAACCCUGCGGAGGACCGUCUNGAUAAAGUCGUGCAACGGGGGUGGGGGACAAGUCGUGGGCUC